rnacentral:rRNA from 1 species
GACGAACGCUGGCGGCGUGCUUAACACAUGCAAGUCGAACGGAAAGGCCCUGCUUUUGUGGGGUGCUCGAGUGGCGAACGGGUGAGUACACGUGAGUAACCUGCCCUUGACUUUGGGAUAACUUCAGGAAACUGGGGCUAAUACCGGAUAGGAGCUCCUGCUGCAUGGUGGGGGUUGGAAAGUUUCGGCGGUUGGGGAUGGACUCGCGGCUUAUCAGCUUGUUGGUGGGGUAGUGGCUUACCAAGGCUUUGACGGGUAGCCGGCCUGAGAGGGUGACCGGCCACAUUGGGACUGAGAUACGGCCCAGACUCCUACGGGAGGCAGCAGUGGGGAAUAUUGCACAAUGGGCGGAAGCCUGAUGCAGCAACGCCGCGUGCGGGAUGACGGCCUUCGGGUUGUAAACCGCUUUCGCCUGUGACGAAGCGUGAGUGGCGGUAAUGGGUAAAGAAGCACCGGCUAACUACGUG